GACGAACGCUGGCGGCGUGCCUAAUACAUGCAAGUUGAGCGCUGAAGGUUGGUACUUGUACCAACUGGAUGAGCAGCGAACGGGUGAGUAACGCGUGGGGAAUCCGCCUUUGAGCGGGGGACAACAUUUGGAAACGAAUGCUAAUACCGCAUAAAAACUUUAAACACAAGUUUUAAGUUUGAAAGAUGCAAUUGCAUCACUCAAAGAUGAUCCCGCGUUGUAUUAGCUAGUUGGUGAGGUAAAGGCUCACCAAGGCGAUGAUACAUAGCCGACCUGAGAGGGUGAUCGGCCACAUUGGGACUGAGACACGGCCCAAACUCCUACGGGAGGCAGCAGUAGGGAAUCUUCGGCAAUGGACGAAAGUCUGACCGAGCAACGCCGCGUGAGUGAAGAAGGUUUUCGGAUCGUAAAACUCUGUUGGUAGAGAAGAACGUUGGUGAGAGUGGAAAGCUCAUCAAGUGACGGUAACUACCCAGAAAGGGACGGCUAACUACGUG
rnacentral:rRNA from 1 species